AAUACCUUAAUUUAAAAUACGAAUGCUUACUGUAAAUUAACAGUAGUUUACUGGCGAAGCUGCUGCCAGUAUAUUACUGUAAAUUUACGGUGAAAAGUUUUACAGUGUAUAAUAUUUAAAAUAAAA